AGCUUUGCGCAGUGGCAGUAUCAUAGCCAAUGAGGUUUAUCCGAGGCGCGAUUAUUGCUAAUUGAAAAGACAUCAUAUCAGAUAGUGAGUUUUUUUCAGACUUGAAUUCAAAACGUUUCUGCAUCCAAAGCAAUUCA
ensembl:snRNA U4 U4 spliceosomal RNA